rnacentral:hammerhead_ribozyme from 1 species
AUCCAGCUGACGAGUCCCAAAUAGGGCGAAACG